UACGAGGGGUGCAAGCGUUGCUCGGAAUUAUUGGGCGUAAAGGGUAGGUAGGUGGUCUCAUUUGUCUGGGGUGAAAGCCUUGAGCUUAACUCAAGAAGUGCCCCAGAAACGGUGAGACUCGAGUCCUGGAGAGGGUCGUGGAAUUCCCGGUGUAGCGGUGAAAUGCGUAGAGAUCGGGAGGAAGGCCGGUGGCGAAGGCGGCGCUCUGGAACAUUUCUGACGCUGAGGCUCGAAAGCGUGGGGAGCAAACAGG
rnacentral:rRNA from 1 species